rnacentral:rRNA from 1 species
UACGUAGGGGGCAAGCGUUGUCCGGAAUUAUUGGGCGUAAAGCGCGCGUAGGCGGCCCUGUAAGUCCGUUGUGAAAGUCAAAGGCUCAACCUUUGAAAGCCGAUGGAUACUGCAGGGCUAGAGUCCGGAAGAGGCGAGUGGAAUUCCUGGUGUAGCGGUGGAAUGCGCAGAUAUCAGGAGGAACACCGAUGGCGAAGGCAGCCCCCUGGGCUAACACUGACGCCUCAUGCACGAAAGCGUGGGGAGCAAACAGG